CACUCCUGCGGGAGGCAGCAGUGGGGAAUAUUGCACAAUGGGCGCAAGCCUGAUGCAGCCAUGCCGCGUGUAUGAAGAAGGCCUUCGGGUUGUAAAGUACUUUCAGCGGGGAGGAAGGCGAUAAGGUUAAUAACCUUGUCGAUUGACGUUACCCGCAGAAGAAGCACCGGCUAACUCCGUGCCAGCAGCCGCGGUAAUACGGAGGGUGCAAGCGUUAAACGGAAUUACUGGGCGUAAAGCGCACGCAGGCGGUCUGUCAAGUCGGAUGUGAAAUCCCCGGGCUCAACCUGGGAACUGCAUUCGAAACUGGCAGGCUAGAGUCUUGUAGAGGGGGGUAGAAUUCCAGGUGUAGCGGUGAAAUGCGUAGAGAUCUGGAGGAAUACCGGUGGCGAAGGCGGCCCCCUGGACAAAGACUGACGCUCAGGUGCGAAAGCGUGGGGAGCAAACAGGAUUAGAAACCCGUGUAGUCCCAUG
rnacentral:rRNA from 1 species